CAUCCAUUUGGACAUUCCGGCUGGACGUUCAUGUCCCAUUUACUGAUGGUGGCAUUUAGUUUAUUGUGGCCACUUCGCAGUCUCAUCAGUGCAGUUUGUAUGGCUCUAUUCCUGUGUGUAUGCCAAGUGCAUACGCCCAUUCGGUUUCUAUUUGUUACGGCUUGGUUGGUGGAGUUUUGUUUUAUUUUUUCGAGUGUUCUGUUUUGGUGUUUGUUUUUUAUUUUCGUUAGGAUUUCUGCCAUGUUGGGUUAGUGCGUCAUCGUCGCCCCGUCGUCUGCACUUCUUCUGAUGUUUGCUAGCUGGUCUGCGAUUUCAUUUCCUCUUAUUCCAGAAUGACUUGGUAUGGAUGUGCUUGUUUCCCAUUUGAAGUUGGAGAUUGCUUGGAUAGCUGACUUGGAGUCUGUGAAUAUGGUGAUUUCGUUCCAGAUUUGAUUGUAUAUAUACAGCACAGGUGGUCUUCAGUGUCUUCAGACAAGUUGAUCCGUCAGUGAAGAUGGCUAUGUGGUCUUUAUGUUCACUGUUCCUAAUCUCAAGGAACAUCGUUGAGGUUCCAUGGUGCUAUUGGAUGAGUGUAAGGUUGGUGUGUGGGCUCUGGCAAUUGGGGA